ensembl:lncRNA
CAUAACUCCAGGUAUUUGCUGUUGUUAUGAACUGAUCAGAUUGUUUCUGGAAGAAACUCCUGGACAUAAGCACCUCAAUUGCAGAUGUUUAGUUUGAUGCCUCUAAGACGAGAAGUUUAAUUUUUUGCUAUUUAAAAGCAUUUCUUGCUUAGGAGGUUAAACAGUGGACAUUUUACUCUCUAAACUCUGAAGCUGUGUGUGUGUGUCAGCUUCCAGUUUGACAGAUGCAGCCACAGUAAUAUCACUGGAUCUCCUUGAGAGAAGCUGUCACCACGAGCGAAGCAGUCACAGACACCAGCCUGAACCCUCCAUAAACCUUCAAGUGGCUUUGCUUGGAAAACUCAGAACCACACCAACAUUGUGACUUCUUUUAGGCACCAUCAACUGGAAUUCCUUGAAGCCUUUUGCUUCAUUCUCAAUGUUUCUGAAGCAGAGAUCUACACAGAUACUGGACAAACCGUUUACCUAUUGACAGGCUUGGGAGGGCAGCUAUUUUCUUAACGAGGACAUAGAUAUAUAGCAAUUUUUGAAAGAAGAUGCCUUAAGAAUGCAUCUGUGAUUUCUUUUCAUGUAAUAAUGCAUAUUCUUAGCUAGUAUAAAGCCACAGGGUACCAUCAAGUUUUGUCAUGUAACUGUUACAAUACAAUUUCAUAGAACUGAUUCUUCUUCCAAGAGGCUCCCUAUGAAUGCUGCAUGAAACCUAAAUGAUAAUGAUGUAUCCGAUACAUCUCCAUUUUCACAUUUUCUCUGCCAACUACAGAAUCUCUAAUCACAAUUUUUAAACAUCUGUGCCUAAGUUUAGUGUAACUAAAAAAGCAAUGGUGAUGAUAAUAACCAAAGUCAAAAGUGUAUGGUAUACAAAAUUCUGUUUUACUCAGCCUUAUCCAAUUUAUUCGUCACAAUCCCCAAAUUCUACUGCCUCGUCAGAAUUCAAUGGCUGCUUUUCCGAAGCUCUAAAGAGAAUCGUAGCAUUGAUUAUCUGUUGGCUGCUGGCAUCUGGCUGCUCCACAUUAACUCUAAGAAUUUCCUGCUCAAAGUCAGAUCGUACUUACUUUGGGCUUUAAGUUUUUUUGGUAUUGUUGUUCAUUUGUAAAUUUGACCAACUUUUAUCACGAGUGUGUUCCAGCCUCUGACUGGGUCUCUAAGGUACAAGCCCUGUAACCUCUAGAUAUGACUGCACUUUAACGUGAAUGCCAUAAGCCACUCUCAUCCUGAAGACAAGGCCUAUAGCAGAGAAAUACGGGGGCCAUGCCCCAGGCUCAGUUAAAUGUCAGGAAAACAUAAAUGUGUUCUGCUCCUAUAGCUCAUCAUUCAAACCUCUGUUCAAGCGAGACAUGUUGAUUAGAACUAUUUGUACAAGAGCUUCUUAAAUUCAAAUGAUCUAAAUUAAACAACAACUUCAACCUGCUCAGGUGUUUUGUUUAGUUUCCCUGUAAGUGAAGAGUUUAUUCACAAAGAAUCACAGAAUAACCCGAUGUGGAAGGGUUCAUUGAAACUAACCCCUGGUUUCACACAAGACUGCCCAAAAACAAAC